AGCGGCAACAGCUCAAAUUUGAAAUCUGGCUCUUUUAGAGUCCGAGUUGUAAUUUGCAGAGGGCGCUUUGGCUUUGGCAGCGGUCCAAGUUCCUUGGAACAGGACGUCACAGAGGGUGAGAAUCCCGUACGUGGUCGCUGGCUAUUGCCGUGUAAAGCCCCUUCGACGAGUCGAGUUGUUUGGGAAUGCAGCUCUAAAUGGGAGGUACAUUUCUUCUAAAGCUAAAUAUUGGCCAGAGACCGAUAGCGCACAAGUAGAGUGAUCGAAAGAUGAAAAGCACUUUGGAAAGAGAGUCAAACAGCACGUGAAAUUGUUGAAAGGGAAGCGCUUGCAGCCAGACUUGCUUGCAGUUGCUCAUCCGGGCUUUUGCCCGGUGCACUCUUCUGUAGGCAGGCCAGCAUCAGUUUGGGCGGUAGGAUAAAGGUCUCUGUCACGUACCUCUCUUCGGGGAGGCCUUAUAGGGGAGACGACAUACUACCAGCCUGGACUGAGGUCCGCGCAUCUGCUAGGAUGCUGGCGUAAUGGCUGU
rnacentral:rRNA from 1 species